AAUCAACGCUGGCGGCGUGCCUAACACAUGCAAGUCGCACGAGAAAGGGCAGCAAUGCCUGAGUACAGUGGCGCACGGGUGAGUAACACGUGAAUGAUCUACCUCCGAGUGGGGAAUAACUGAGAGAAAUCUUAGCUAAUACCGCAUAACACUUACGAGUCAAAGCAGCAAUGCGCUUGGAGAGGAGUUCGCGGCAGAUUAGUUAGNGGUCGGGG
rnacentral:rRNA from 1 species